rnacentral:piRNA from 1 species
CAAAAAUGAGAGAAAGAACUAUGCUAAG